rnacentral:rRNA from 1 species
UACGUAGGGCGCAAGCGUUAUCCGGAAUUAUUGGGCGUAAAGAGCUCGUAGGCGGUUUGUCGCGUCUGCCGUGAAAGUCCGGGGCUCAACUCCGGAUCUGCGGUGGGUACGGGCAGACUAGAGUGAUGUAGGGGAGACUGGAAUUCCUGGUGUAGCGGUGAAAUGCGCAGAUAUCAGGAGGAACACCCGUAGCGAAGGCGGCACUCUGGGCCGGAACUGACGCUGAGGAGCGAAAGCGUGGGGAGCAAACAGG